UAGUUAGAGCCCGUUAAUGGGUGAUAGCGUGCCUUUUGUAGAAUGAACCGGCGAGUUACGAUUUGUUGCAAGGUUAAGCGGAAAAAGCGGAGCCGUAGCGAAAGCGAGUCUGAAUAGGGCGCAUAAGUAACAGGUCGUAGACCCGAAACCAGGUGAUCUACCCAUGUCCAGGAUGAAGGUAAGGUAAUACUUACUGGAGGUCCGAACCCACGCACGUUGAAAAGUGCGGGGAUGAGGUGUGGGUAGCGGAGAAAUUCCAAUCGAACUUGGAGAUAGCUGGUUCUCUCCGAAAUAGCUUUAGGGCUAGCCUCGAGGUAAAGAGUCAUGGAGGUAGAGCACUGUUUGGACUAGGGGCCCUUCUCGGGUUACCGAAUUCAGAUAAACUCCGAAUGCCAUGUACUUAUACUCGGGAGUCAGACUGCGAGUGAUAAGAUCCGUAGUCGAAAGGGAAACAGCCCAGACCACCAGUUAAGGUCCCCAA
rnacentral:rRNA from 1 species